UUCCAUAUUCCAAAAAACUCAACAAGUUACUAAAAAAAAUAAUAGUAAAAAAUUAGUUCAUUUUCUACAUCAAUGGAUACGAUGAAAUCUUUCAAAGGCUAUGGCAAAGUGGACGAGUUGGAAGAAGAAGCUUUCAGGAAGAAAACCCGCAAGCGUCUAAUCAUCUUAAUCGUCUCUGCCGUUCUUCUCCUUAUUGCAGUUGUAGGCAUAGUUGUUGGAACUGUUGUUCACAAAAACAACGAUUCGAAACAACCCUCUUCUACUGCUCAAUCUCUGCAAGUUCUCUGUAGCUUAACUGAGUACAAAGAUUCGUGCUUAUCAAGCUUAUCAUCCUCAAAUGUCACUGAUCCAGAAACGUUGUUCGUACUUUCUUUGAAAAUCGCCAUGGAUGCGGUCAAAAAAUUGUCUUCUGGACCACAGAAUUGGGCGAAAUUGACUAAAGAACCCAAAGUACAAAAGGCAUUGGAAGUCUGCGAGACUGUAUUCGACGAUGCAAUUGAUAAACUUGACGACUCUGUUUCGUCAGUGCAAGUGAACGGAGGCGCAAAACUGCUUUCAG
rnacentral:misc_RNA from 1 species